rnacentral:rRNA from 1 species
UCUCAAACAUGUGCAGAGGGGAAUAGCAGGUUAUGCAUCUCUGUGGGAGACUACUACUGUUAUAUGCUGCAAACACGGCAUGCGAUCUUCAAUCCAAUACUCUGUGGAGCACGCCUACUGCAGCAAUGGGCGGUUGACAUGUACAUCAUGAUUGAGAGCUGUCGGUUGAGGUGGUAUAGGAAGAACCAGACGCAGAUCCGUGCCGAUUUGUACCAAGGAGUUGUUGAUGCGAUCACAUCGGGAGAGACGUGAGCAAGCGCUGUUGGUAAAAGAAUAGUGCUCCCUGGAACUUACCCUGGUGGCGACCGCGACAUGAAGAAGAGACAUAUGGACGCCAUGGCAAUUGUCCAUACAUACGGGAAGCCUGACAUCUUCUUGACCAUGACUUGCAACCCUAAAUGGGAAGAGAUAACAAAUGAGUUGCUUCCUGGACAGACAGCGCAAGACCGACCUAAUAUUGUGGCUCGCGUGUUCUAUGGAAAACUAGAGGCUAUGAAAGAUAUGUUGCUCAAGAAGAUGGUCCUGGGUGUUGUUGUUGCUUAUGUGUACGUAGUCGAGUUCCAGAAGAGAGGCCUCCCCCACGCACAUUUUUUGUUGAUCAUGGAUUCAACAUAUAAGCUUCUUGUCCACAGCAGUAUGACCAACUCAUUUCCGCAGAGCUCCCAAACAGGCAGAAGUAUCCGGAAUUGUACGCAAUGGUGGUAA